rnacentral:rRNA from 1 species
CUGGCUGAGAUUGAACGCUGGCGGCAUGCUUUACACAUGCAAGUCGAACGGUAACAGGCCGCAAGGUGCUGACGAGUGGCGAACGGGUGAGUAAUGCAUCGGAACGUGCCCAGUCGUGGGGGAUAACGCAGCGAAAGCUGCGCUAAUACCGCAUACGAUCUAUGGAUGAAAGCGGGGGACCGUAAGGCCUCGCGCGAUUGGAGCGGCCGAUGUCAGAUUAGGUAGUUGGUGGGGUAAAGGCUCACCAAGCCGACGAUCUGUAGCUGGUCUGAGAGGACGACCAGCCACACUGGGACUGAGACACGGCCCAGACUCCUACGGGAGGCAGCAGUGGGGAAUUUUGGACAAUGGGCGCAAGCCUGAUCCAGCAAUGCCGCGUGCAGGAAGAAGGCCUUCGGGUUGUAAACUGCUUUUGUACGGAACGAAAAGGCUCUGGUUAAUACCUGGGGCACAUGACGGUACCGUAAGAAUAAGCACCGGCUAACUACGUGCCAGCAGCCGCGGUAAUACGUAGGGUGCAAGCGUUAAUCGGAAUUACUGGGCGUAAAGCGUGCGCAGGCGGUUUUGUAAGACAGGCGUGAAAUCC